rnacentral:lncRNA from 1 species
CUUCUACAAAUUUCCUUGGAUCUCCUUCCUCACAAUUCUAUUUCUUGUAUAUAUGGCUUAUUGGAAAGCUUACAAUCAGAUCUAGCUUUUUUUGGAAUAUCAACACAAAAAGAUAAAAACAUAAGAAGUGGCAUAGAAAAAUCCAAACUAGUAUUGAAUCUCUUCUCUCAAAAAUUCCAACGACCCCCUUCUUACAAAUUUGCUUGGAUCUCUUUUUUUAUAGCUCGAUUUUUUAUAUACUAAGGCUUGUUAAAAAGCUUAUAAUUAGAUCUAAAUUCUCUUAAUAUAUCAACACAAAAAAUAAAAAUGUAAGAAGUGGCAUAAAAAACUCCAAACUAAUGUUGAAUCUUCCAUCUCAAAAAUUCUAGCAA